GCAGAACUGAGUCAUAUGUGUGGAGGGACAGUAACUGUCUGUGUAUAUCUCUGCCCAUUCACUCCCUCUGCACUUUCUGCUGUUCUCAGUCAAAGUUUGGCAACAUGAAGGGAGACACAUCACCGGUCUGACAACAAAUACUAUCUUCAAGUUUAAAGGUUAUUACUUUAAACAUGAGAACAAAAUGUGGGAAACACUCUUACUCUGGGCAGUUCUUUGCAUUGUGUCAUGCUGUUGGAGUCCUGCUGCCAUGUAGGGGUGUGCUUGGUCUGGUUGCAUGAAUCAGCUGCAGAAUCCUAUUAGUGUAUGUCACCAAUAAAAAUCAGUAGGCAGAGGAUAUAGUCAAUGGCCGCUCCCUCAUUAGGAGAUGCCCACCAGCAGGCCUCGGGGCAGAUCAAAAGGGCUGGUCUGAAUAUCGCCUUCAGGAAUAAAG